rnacentral:rRNA from 1 species
AGCAUACUGAAGUCUUCGGACGGACGUAUGUGGAACGAGCGGCGGACGGGUGAGUAACACGUAGGCAACCUGCCUGUCAGACCGGGAUAACUCCGGGAAACCGGAGCUAAUACCGGAUGAGCCCUGCUCCGCAUGGAGCAGGAAGAAAGAUGGCCUUGUGCUAUCGCUGACAGAUGGGCCUGCGGCGCAUUAGCUAGUUGGUGAGGUAAGGGCUCACCAAGGCGACGAUGCGUAGCCGACCUGAGAGGGUGACCGGCCACACUGGGACUGAGACACGGCCCAGACUCCUACGGGAGGCAGCAGUAGGGAAUCUUCCGCAAUGGACGCAAGUCUGACGGAGCGACGCCGCGUGAGUGAGGAAGGCUUUCGGGUCGUAAAACUCUGUUGUGAGGGAAGAACACCCGUUGUUUGAACAAGGCAAUGGGAUGACGGUACCUCACGAGGAAGCCCCGGCUAACUACGUGCCAGCAGCCGCGGUAAUACGUAGGGGGCAAGCGUUGUCC